rnacentral:misc_RNA from 1 species
GAUGAAGAACGUAGCGAAAUGCGAUAAGUAGUGUGAAUUGCAGAAUUCAGUGAAUCAUCGAAUCUUUGAACGCACAUUGCGGCCAUAGGUAUUCCUUUGGCCAUGCCUGUUCGAGCGUCAUUUACACCCUCAAGCCUAGCUUGGUGUUGGGCGUCUGUCCCGCCGUUCUCGCGCGCGGACUCGCCUCAAAGUCAUUGGCGGCGGUCGUGCCGGCCCCCUCGCGCAGCACAUUUGCGCUUCUCGGAGGCCCGGCGGAUCCGCGCUCCAGCAAGACCUUUCACGACUUGACCUCGGAUCAGGUAGGGAUACCCGCUGAACUUAAGCAUAUCAAUAAGCGGAGG